rnacentral:rRNA from 1 species
UACGUAGGGUGCGAGCGUUAAUCGGAAUUACUGGGCGUAAAGCGUGCGUAGGUGGUUCGUUGUGUCUGUGGUGAAAGCCCCGGGCUUAACCUGGGAAUGGCCAUGGAAACUGGCGAGCUGGAGUGUGGCAGAGGGGGGUGGAAUUCCGCGUGUAGCAGUGAAAUGCGUAGAGAUGCGGAGGAACACCGAUGGCGAAGGCAGCCCCCUGGGCUAACACUGACGCUGAGGCACGAAAGCGUGGGGAUCAAACAGG